UGGGGAAUAUUGGACAAUGGGCGAAAGCCUGAUCCAGCCAUGCCGCGUGAGUGAUGAAGGCCCUAGGGUUGUAAAGCUCUUUUGUGCGGGAAGAUAAUGACGGUACCGCAAGAAUAAGCCCCGGCUAACUUCGUGCCAGCAGCCGCGGUAAUACGAAGGGGGCUAGCGUUGCUCGGAAUCACUGGGCGUAAAGGGUGCGUAGGCGGGUUUCUAAGUCAGAGGUGAAAGCCUGGAGCUCAACUCCAGAACCGCCUUUGAUACUGGAAGUCUUGAGUUCGGGAGAGGUGAGUGGAACUGCGAGUGUAGAGGUGAAAUUCGUAGAUAUUCGCAAGAACACCAGUGGCGAAGGCGGCUCACUGGCCCGAUACUGACGCUGAGGCACGAAAGCGUGGGGAGCAAACA
rnacentral:rRNA from 1 species